rnacentral:rRNA from 1 species
CCUACGGGAGGCAGCAGUGGGGAAUAUUGGGCAAUGGAGGAAACUCUGACCCAGCAACGCCGCGUGAAUGAUGAAGGUCUUCGGAUUGUUAAGUUCUUUUCUAAGGGAAGAAGAAAGUGACGGUACCUUAGGAAUAAGCCUCGGCUAACUACGUGCCAGCAGCCGCGGUCAUACGUAGGAGGCGAGCGUUAUGCGGAAUGACUGGGCGUAAAGGGUGCGUAGGGGGUUUGGCAAGUUAGUAGCGUAACUCCAAGGCUCAACCUUGGAACUACUACUAAAACUGGUGGACUUGAGUGCAGGAGAGGCAACCGGAAUUCCUAGUGUAGCGGUGGAAUGCGUAGAUAUUAGGAGGAACACCGGUGGCGAAGGCGGGUUGCUGGACUGUAACUGACGCUGAGGCACGAAAGCGUGGGGAGCAAACAGGAUUAGAUACCCCUGUAGUC